rnacentral:rRNA from 1 species
AUUGAACGCUGGCGGCAGGCCUAACACAUGCAAGUCGAGCGGAUGAAGGGAGCUUGCUCCUGGAUUCAGCGGCGGACGGGUGUGUAAUGCCUAGGAAUCUGCCUGGUAGUGGGGGAUAACGUCCUUUAACGGGCGCUAAUACCGCAUACGUCCUGAUGUAGAAAGUUGGGGUUCUUCGGACCUCACGCUAUCUUCUGAGCCUAGGUCGUAUUAGCUAGUUGGUUGGGUAAAGGCCUACCAAGGCGACGAUCCGUAACUGGUCUGAGAGGAUGAUCAGUCACACUGGAACUGAGACACGGACCAGACUCCUACGGGAGGCAGCAGUGGGGAAUAUUGGACAAUGGGCGAAAGCAUGAUACAGAGAUGCCGCGUGUGAGAAGAAGGUCUUAGGAUUGUAAAGAAAUUUAAGUUGGGAGGAAGGGAAGUAAGUUAAAAAAUUGAUGUUUUGACGUUAACAAAAGAAAAAGCACCGGCUAACUACGUG